CGGGUGAGUAACGCGUGAGGAACCUGCCUCAAAGAGGGGGACAACAGUUGGAAACGACUGCUAAUACCGCAUAAGCCCACGGCUCGGCAUCGAGCAGAGGGAAAAGGAGUGAUCCGCUUUGAGAUGGCCUCGCGUCCGAUUAGCUGGUUGGUGAGGUAACGGCCCACCAAGGCGACGAUCGGUAGCCGGACUGAGAGGUUGAACGGCCACAUUGGGACUGAGACACGGCCCAG
rnacentral:rRNA from 1 species